rnacentral:rRNA from 1 species
UACGGGGGGGGCAAGCGUUGUUCGGAAUUACUGGGCGUAAAGGGCUCGUAGGUGGCCAACUAAGUCAGACGUGAAAUCCCUCAGCUUAACUGGGGAACUGCGUCUGAUACUGGAUGGCUUGAGUUUGGGAGAGGGAUGCGGAAUUCCAGGUGUAGCGGUGAAAUGCGUAGAUAUCUGGAGGAACACCGGUGGCGAAGGCGGCCAUCUGGACGGAUACUGACGCUGAGACGCGAAAGCGUGGGGAGCAAACAGG